GACGAACGCUGGCGGCGUGCUUAACACAUGCAAGUCGAACGGAAAGGCCCUGCUUUUGUGGGGUGCUCGAGUGGCGAACGGGUGAGUAACACGUGAGUAACCUGCCCUUGACUUUGGGAUAACUUCAGGAAACUGGGGCUAAUACCGGAUAGGAGCUCCUGCUGCAUGGUGGGGGUUGGAAAGUUUCGGCGGUUGGGGAUGGACUCGCGGCUUAUCAGCUUGUUGGUGGGGUAGUGGCUCACCAAGGCUUUGACGGGUAGCCGGCCUGAGAGGGUGACCGGCCACAUUGGGACUGAGAUACGGCCCAGACUCCUACGGGAGGCAGCAGUGGGGAAUAUUGCACAAUGGGCGGAAGCCUGAUGCAGCAACGCCGCGUGCGGGAUGACGGCCUUCGGGUUGUAAACCGCUUUCGCCUGUGGCGAAGCGUGAGUGACGGUAAUGGGUAAAGAAGCACCGGCUAACUACGUG
rnacentral:rRNA from 1 species